CUGCGACCAAUGAAACUGCCUGUCCUUCCUCUGGAAGAUGGCGUGCAAAGGCCGUGAAAAGCAACCUGCUUGGUAGUAGACUCAGCCAGGUGCCAUGCCUGGGCUGUCCUAUGGGACCUCGGAGACAGCC